UGGGCGUAAGAGCUCGUAGGCGGUCUGUCCGCGUCCGGCUGUGAAAACUCGGGGCUUCAACCCCGAGCCUGCAGUCGAUACGGGCAGACUAGAGUGCUGUAGGGGAGACUGGAAUUCCUGGUGUAGCGGUGAAAUGCGCAGAUAUCAGGAGGAACACCGGUGGCGAAGGCGGGUCUCUGGGCAGUAACUGACGCUGAGGAGCGAAAGCGUGGGGAGCGAACAGGAUUAGAUACCCUGGUAGUCCACGCCGUAAACGGUGGGUGCUAGGUGUGAGCGGUAUUCCACGCCGUUCGUGCCGCAGCUAACGCAUUAAGCACCCCGCCUGGGGAGUACGGCCGCAAGGCUAAAACUCAAAGGAAUUGACGGGGGCCCGCACAAGCAGCGGAGCAUGUGGCUUAAUUCGACGCAACGCGAAGAACCUUACCAAGGCUUGACAUGCAGGGAAAUCUCCCAGAGAUGGGAGGUCCGCAAGGGUCCUGCACAGGUGGUGCAUGGUUGUCGUCAGCUCGUGUCGUGAGAUGUUGGGUUAAGUCCCGCAACGAGCGCAACCCUCGUUCUAUGUUGCCAGCGCGUGAUGGCGGGGACUCAUAGGAGACUGCCGGGGUCAACUCGGAGGAAGGUGGGGGAUGACGUCAAAUCAUCAUGCCCCCUUAUGUCUUGGGGCUGCACACAUGCUACAAUGGCCGGUACAAAAGGGCUGCUAAACCGUGAGGUGGAGCGAAUCCCAAAAAGCCGGUCUCAGUUCGGAUUGGGGUCUGCAACUCGACCCCAUGAAGUCGGAGUUGCUAGUAAUCGCAGAUCAGCAACGCUGCGGUGAAUACGUUCCCGGGCCUUGUACACACCGCCCGUCACGUCACGAAAGUCGGUAACACCCGAAGCCAGUGGCCCAACCCGGAAGGGGGGGAGCUGUCGAAGGUGGGAUCGGCGAUUGGGACGAAGUCGUAACAAGGUAGCCGU
rnacentral:rRNA from 1 species